rnacentral:rRNA from 1 species
CUGCCGGUGACAAGCCGGAGGAAGGUGGGGAUGACGUCAAGUCCUCAUGGCCCUUAUGUCCUGGGCUACACACGUGCUACAAUGGCGGUGACAGUGGGAAGCUAUGUGGUGACACAGUGCUGAUCUCUAAAAGCCGUCUCAGUUCGGAUUGCACUCUGCAACUCGGGUGCAUGAAGGUGGAAUCGCUAGUAAUCGCGGAUCAGCAUGCCGCGGUGAAUACGUUCCCGGGCCUUGUACACACCGCCCGUCACACCAUGGGAUUUGGUUCGACC